CUCCACUUUUAUUAUUCUCACUUGAUCUUAUUUUCACUAUUGUGACUAAAAUAAACUUAUUUUAGUUAAACUAGAAGUGCAGUCAGCAAAAUUUUAUAUUUGUUUUGGUUUUGUCAUUCCUUCCCCCAUCUCUCCCCACUCAACACCUCCCUCAUCUUCAAUGCUAGGGCAAGUAACUAGCCUUCAAUCAGCUAUCAUCAACCCAUUCACCUAUGCACCUUGAAUCAGAGGCUCUUGUGGAGCCCAACACUCUCCGGGAGGCACUCAGCAAUUUUUGUUAGUCCAAAGACCCCUAAAAGUUUUUCAUUUUAUUUUUUCAUACUUACUCUUUUCCUUUCCUUUUCCUCUUCCCUUCUCACAUUACUUUCUCUUUCUCUUCUCAUGUUACUCUCUUUUUCUUUUCUCAUAUGGAAUAUCUUUUGCUCUCCUCUUCUUCCUCUUUUCCUACCUUUUCAUCCAUAGUUUUGUCUAUUUUCUAUUUUCUUUCUCCUAGUUGCAAUUUUUAAUGCAAAUAGAGGAUUUCAACUAUAACUUAUAAACUUUAGUUUCUUUCAAAGAAUUGUCAUAUUUUUAUUUUUCAUAUUUAAAUUUUAAUAAUGUGAUAUCAUUGUCACUCUGAAC
rnacentral:lncRNA from 1 species